rnacentral:tRNA from 1 species
CAGGUUAUAGCAUAUAGUUAAUGCUUUUUAUUUACACUAAAAAGAAAAUAUUUUAUUUAAUCUGU